rnacentral:rRNA from 1 species
UACGUAGGGAGCAAGCGUUGUCCGGAAUCAUUGGGCGUAAAGCGCGCGUAGGUGGCCUCGUAAGUCCGCUGUGAAAGUCAAAGGCUCAACCUUUGAAAGCCGGUGGAUACUGUGAGGCUAGAGUACGGAAGAGGCGAGUGGAAUUCCUGGUGUAGCGGUGGAAUGCGCAGAUAUCAGGAGGAACACCAAUAGCGAAGGCAGCUCGCUGGGACGUUACUGACGCUGAGGUGCGAAAGCGUGGGGAGCAAACAGG